UACGUAGGGUCCGAGCGUUGUCCGGAAUUACUGGGCGUAAAGCGUGCGCAGGCGGUUCGUUAAGUCAGAUGUGAAAGCCCCGGGCUCAACCUGGGAACUGCAUUUGAAACUGGCGGGCUUGAGUGUGGCAGAGGGGGGUGGAAUUCCGCGUGUAGCAGUGAAAUGCGUAGAGAUGCGGAGGAACACCGAUGGCGAAGGCAGCCCCCUGGGCCAACACUGACGCUCAGGCACGAAAGCGUGGGGAGCAAACAGG
rnacentral:rRNA from 1 species